rnacentral:rRNA from 1 species
UACGUAGGGUGCGAGCGUUGUCCGGAAUUAUUGGGCGUAAAGAGCUUGUAGGCGGUCUGUCGCGUCUGCUGUGAAAAUCCGGGGCUCAACCCCGGACUUGCAGUGGAUACGGGCAGACUAGAGUGUGGUAGGGGAGACUGGAAUUCCUGGUGUAGCGGUGAAAUGCGCAGAUAUCAGGAGGAACACCGAUGGCGAAGGCAGGUCUCUGGGCCACUACUGACGCUGAGGAGCGAAAGCGUGGGGAGCGAACAGG